AUAAAAGUAAUUUAGUUAAAAUAUUGGGUUUCAAACCUAAAAAUGCAGAAGUUUUGCCUUUUAUG
rnacentral:tRNA from 2 species